AUUUAUUCUCUUUUCCCAGCCAGAUACAUAUUUUUUCCCUUUAAUCCGACCCUUUUAACUGUCAUUAGGUGCAAUUGUAAAUCAGUUGGAAAAGGAAGCCUACUCCAUGACUUUAAGAAAAGAGAAGACCCAUUGGAUUACACGAGAAGUCUAGAAUAAUAGUGGAGAAAGAGAAGCCCUCCAAUGCCUUCAGUGCCUUACCAGUGGCUACUUAGUGUUAGUAGAUGAGGAGCAUCCCAUUUCCGACAAUUUCAGGUCCAAGACCUGAGACAAGGAGGUGAGCCAA
rnacentral:lncRNA from 11 species